UGCAGUCGAGGGGCAGCAUCAUCAAAGCUUGCUUUGAUGGAUGGCGACCGGCGCACGGGUGAGUAACACGUAUCCAACCUGCCGACAACACUGGGAUAGCCUUUCGAAAGAAAGAUUAAUACCGGAUGGCAUAAUUAUUCCGCAUGGGAUAAUUAUUAAAGAAUUUCGGUUGUCGAUGGGGAUGCGUUCCAUUAGGCAGUUGGCGGGGUAACGGCCCACCAAACCUACGAUGGAUAGGGGUUCUGAGAGGAAGGUCCCCCACAUUGGAACUGAGACACGGUCCAAACUCCUACGGGAGGCAGCAGUGAGGAAUAUUGGUCAAUGGACGAGAGUCUGAACCAGCCAAGUAGCGUGAAGGAUGACUGCCCUAUGGGUUGUAAACUUCUUUUAUACGGGAAUAAAGUGAGCCACGUGUGGCUUUUUGUAUGUACCGUAUGAAUAAGGAUCGGCUAACUCCGUGCCAGCAGCCGCGGUAAUACGGAGGAUUCGAGCGUUAUCCGGAUUUAUUGGGUUUAAAGGGAGCGUAGGCGGGUUGUUAAGUCAGUUGUGAAAGUUUGCGGCUCAACCGUAAAAUUGCAGUUGAUACUGGCGACCUUGAGUGCAACAGAGGUAGGCGGAAUUCGUGGUGUAGCGGUGAAAUGCUUAGAUAUCACGAAGAACUCCGAUUGCGAAGGCAGCUUACUGGAUUGUAACUG
rnacentral:rRNA from 1 species